rnacentral:misc_RNA from 1 species
GUAGGUGAACCUGCGGAAGGAUCAUUACAGAGUUCAUGCCCUCGCGGGUGGAUCUCCCACCCUUGAACAUUAUACCUUAGUUGCUUUGGUAGGUCGUGGAAACACUAUGGGCUCUAGCUCGUACGUGCCUACCGAAGGAAACAAACUCUGUUUUUAGUGAUGUCUGAGUACUAUAUAAUAGUUAAAACUUUCAACAACGGAUCUCUUGGUUCUG